rnacentral:lncRNA from 1 species
AAUGUUUGUAGCAACUUUAUUCAUAAUAAUCCCACGCUGGAAAUAACACAAAUAUUCAUCAGCAAAUACAUAAACCAACUGUGGUAUAUUACAAUGAAAUACUAUUCAGCAAUGAAAACAAAAAGCUACAGACACAGGCAACAGCAAAUAUCUCUAAACAUGUUAAGCUAAAGAAACUAAACACAAGAGUAUAUACUAUCUGAUUUAAUUUAUAUGAAAUUCUAAAUCAGGGAAGAAAACUAACCUUCCAGUAACAGAAGGUGGAUCAGUGGUGACCUAGGGCUGGGGAGAAUGACUGCAAACGGAGAGGAAAUUUAUUCUGCUCUGGAGGCUGGGAAGUCACGGUUAAGCACCAGUUGGUUUGGUGUCUGCUGAGUCCCCAGUUGCUGCUUUCAAGAUGGUACCUUGUUGCUGGGUCCUCACGUUAGAAGGGACAGAAGGGGCUGGGCAUGGUGGCUCACACCUAUAAUCCCAGCACUUUGGGAGGCCGAGGCAGGCAGAUCAUGAGGUCAGGAGAUCAAGACCAUCCUGGCUAACACGGUGAAACCCCAUCUCUACUAAAAAUAUAAAAAAUUAGCCGGGCGUGGUGGUGGCGGGCACCUGUAGUCCCAGCUACUCGGGAGGCUGAGGCAGGAGAAUGGCGUGAACCCGGGAGGUGGAGCUUGCAGUGAACCAAGAUCACGCCACUGCACUCCAGCCUGGGGCAACAGAGCAAGACUCCAUCUCAAAAAAAAAAAAAAAAAAAGGGACAGGAGACAGAAGGGCUGAACAGCUGCCUCACACCUCUUUUUAAGUCAUUAAUCCCAGAGCCCUCAUGACUUAAUCACUUCCUCAAGGCCCCACCUCUACAUACUAUCUCACUGGCAAAUACAUUUCCACAUUUGAAUUUUGGAGGACACAUUCAGACCACUGCACCCCUCAAGUUGGUUAGUGUCUUUGAAUAUCUUUUUUCAUGCUGUGACAAUCUCAUGGUUUCAAACUUUUCUUCUAUCUGUGUUAAUCCCAAAUAUCUUUGUUCUCAGUCAUCUCCCUAGUUUCCAUCUUUCUCCCAGACCUCCUCUCUACAUAAAUAACCUGCAUGCACUGUAAAAUCCAUGUAUCAAAAAACUGAACUUGUGUAAUUCUCUUCCAAAUCUGUCCCCAGCUUCUAGAAGAUGGGAGGAAAACAUGAUACAAGGGUAUAAGGAAAUUCACUCAGUACUGCAGAGACAGCAUGGAAGACAAAGACUCAGUCUCUGUGUUUCUGAAAGGUCUUCUCGAACCAUAUCCACCCACUUCUCAAUUUCUACCACAAAAGUAGAAAACGUAACCUUGAUUUUCACUUUCUGUCCUGUAACUAUAAAAGUCAUCUGUAGAAGGUAAUUUGGGUCCUCACUUCCAUAAAUAUUCUCUGACUUCCUCUAAUAGAAAGUAGGAGAAUGUGGCAGUACUGUAUAUUACAAUGUUAGGACUACUUAACAUAACGCUGCUUUAAAAGACCAGAAUUUGAGACGGGUGAAAGGGCAGGGGCAAGUUUGAUUAUUCCUAACAUCUAUGAGGAAGCCUCUGUCUUCCCCAUAGGAAGCUGUCCUUUCUUCUCUAUUAGUUAUAUAGGAAUAAGAAUCUAGAGGAAGCUUUAAACAUUCAUAUUGGAGUUAAGAAUUAAAGACACUGAGAUGAUUAGUGUGUGGAUAACCUGAAAUACUUUAUGGCUCAUUCACCAUUUCAACAUCAACAAGAGGAGAACACCACAAAUACGGCAAACUGUCUAGCUGCUCAAGAAAAUGGUGCCCCCUUCCUCCCAGGCACACAGCUGGACACAUUUCCCAAAAUCUCUCUAGGUGGGCCAUGUGACGGAGUUCUGUCCAAAGGAACAUGGGCGGAAGAGAUAUGCACCACUUCCAGGCCUGACCCAGAAACAUUUUCCACACAGACUUUUCCUUCUUUUCCUAUGUGCUCUUUCAACAAAGAGGGCUCUAUGGACUGAGAGAAAGGCAGAGCCCCAAGAGGAAGGAGCCUGGGUCGCAGAAAGACUAGGUGGAAAGCUGUCCACUGACCACAAACAUCCACAUGGGACAUCAUAUGAGAGAGAAAUAAACCUGGGAAUAGUUACUUAACUUCUUUGGGUCCUAGUCUCUGGGCAAAGAGGAAAAGCUCAAUAAAUAUCAGCUGACAUUAUAUUAGGAAAUAAAGUUUACUUCUCCUUAAUUUCUUUUUCUUAGGCAAGGCGGAGCACCGGGGGUGAGUGGGAUUGGUGAAAAGCACUAAAUGACAUUUGCCUAUUACAAAAUGCUAAUUGGUACAUUUAAAUAAGAUGACAUUGUGACAAUAACUCACAGAUUAAAGACAUUUUCUUCUGGAUCCCAGACAUUAGAUUUUAAGACUGAUUUCUUGCUAAAAACACUCAAAUCUAGUUAAAAUGUGAAAUAUAAACAGAAUGUGGUACCCACUUCUUUCCCCCUGUGACACUGAGUGUCCGGGGAUGUUCUAAAACACAAUUAACAAUCCACAUCAUUUCUGUGGCUUCAAAUUGGCACAAAAUCUGUACAAAGAAUACUUUGUGCUGCUAUAAUACUCAACUGAUACAGUUUAAUUAUGAUCA